UUAAACUUUGUAAAACCCUUUGUUUUCACGCUUUAAACUCUUUUGUUUUCCCUUUCCUUUUGUUACACGGUUUCAAUUUCCUGUCUCCCCACAUUUUAGUUCUUUCCCCUUCCCCUUCAACGGUUUCACAUUCUCCCCACAUUUUAGUUCUUUCCCCUUCCCCACCUUUUGUUCUAUGGUUUCACAUUAAAUUUACGCCAGCCUUACUCCCUUCUAAUGGCAGCCUCUCUGUCUUCCUUCCUUCUUAUCUUCCUCUCUUUACAUUAUAUGAAUACUGACAGAAGCUGCUAAGUUCAAGAUGUGAUCUGGAUUUGGCAUGUUGGUACUGUUGUGGAUGUGGAUACCGAAACAGGUGCUGAAUACAAUCUUAAUGGACCUACUUCCUAUGAAGUUGUUAAUGAAUUGCUUUUCAACAUUGGUGACAUUAUAAUGAGUAAUGUUUUGCUCUCAAUGUGUAGUGAAGGUGAACAUUAACAAAGUAAUGAUUUGUUCUUAUUUUGCUA